AUACUCCCUCCGGUUCAUAUUAAUUGACUCUAAUAUGGAUGUAUCUAGACACAUUUCAGUUCUAGAUACAUCCAUAUUGGAGUCAAUUAAUAUGAAUCGGAGGGAGUAGUUCAUUUGUUAAAGUAAAUGAGAGAAGAGUUAUGGGAAGAAAAUGCAUCAUUAAUCAUUGUUAGAAGGGACAUACAUAUUUAACAGCGUACUUUUGCGCAUGUGCCUCAUGGCAACCUAGGCUAGUCGAACUCAUAGGCGUACACACUACACUCAACGUUGCUUAUAGAUAAUGCAUGAUACUAAACAGCUAAUUGGUAUAUCAAAACUCAAAUUUAAUUCUAUAUGCAAGUGACUUGAUGGAAUUCAGAAUCAUGGAGGAUUUAACAUUCAUAUGAGCAUUUAAUACUAAAUAUAUCUUCACUAUGCAUUCACUAGUAGUGUGUAUGGUUAGCUCCACUCGAAAUUCUAAUCCACCUGGAUCAGGUUGCAGUAACCUUGCUUUGUUAUUUUUCUCUCUAGAAGAACACAAAAGUUUUGCGUCAAUGCAUUGAGGGAACAAGAGAGUUCCUGAUACGGGUGGAUUAACCCUCUGAAAGAGAAAGCAUAGCCCAACCAGUCUAACACACCCACAGAAGGCCCUUGGGUUUAUCUUGUUUAUUAGUUCUUCCAAGCCUGGCAUGUCGCCCCUGAAUAUGCAAGUGUUUCAGUGCUUCAUGUUCACUGGGAUACUGACUGGACAGUUAUUUGCCACCAUGCAGUGGAAUCAUCACCUGCAGCUCUGGGAUGUAUCUCGUAGGUUGUACCCAGGAUAGGAGCUCGGACCAGUUUUGGCGAGCUAAUGAUCAGACCACAAACAGCCAACAGAAUUGAUGCAGUCAUCCAUGUGCUCUUCAAUGUUUCUGUGCCCCUGCUCAAGGCAGAAACGAUUUCCACGAGAUAAUUCAUCAUCGACUUAACAGUUGAAGCACAUGUAUGCUUAUCUGUUGCAUAAGCAUUGCAAGCAUAUGAAAUAUGAAUUCCAUGCUUUUUCUGUGACAUGACUCGAAGCAUGAUUUUACCCUUCAGGAAAUGAAGCGUUUCCAUCCAGAUACUUUAGGCAGGCAUAUAGUGAAACAAUUACUUUGGUACUCCCUCCAGCCCAAAAUGUCUGAUGUGCCUUCAUGCUUUUUCAUCUGGCAUGUUUUUGAAGAGAAAGGGGAAAUUGGUGUGAUCAUUCACUGGGUCUUUUUUUUAAGGAUACGUCAUGGAUAGACUUAUCUGUUUCAUAGGAGAAAGGCCAGAAGGCCGACAUACAACACGCUCGAGGCACAGACGCCCACAAAGCGCAACUCCUUGCUACCUCCGGAAAAGGUAGCACACACACGUUACCGGACUACUCGCGGCAUCUCCACUUAUCUACUGGUGCAAAAGAGUCUCUAAAAAUCCCGGCCACUCUCCACAACUCAGCCUCGUCAGAGAUCUUUGAGAGCACCGUGGACUUGGAAGGUGCGACGCUGUCAAACACUAUGUCGUUUCGGUGACGCCAGAGGCACCAACAAAUGAGAGUCACACCUGUCCAGAGGUCGCGGUCUGCUCCAGGUCCUCCACGCUUGCCCUGCAGCCAUCCAACGAAACCCGUAUCUACCUGCGGCAUCCAGUGCAGCUUCCCCCACCAGCGCAGACAAGUCACCCAAACCUCUCGAGCCAACACACAUCCCAUCAGCAGGUGGUCCAGGGUUUCCUCGCUCUGGUCGCAGAAAGGGCACGCAGCCGGAUGGGGGAGACCCCGCCUGCUAAGUCUGUCUGCUGUCCAACACCUGUUCCUGACCGCCAGCCAAAGAAAGACCCUGCAGUUUGGUGAAGCCCUCGAGCGCCAUAUCUGAAGCGUCCCUGGCAUAUCCACCCUCGCCCCGAACAUCGCGCGAUAGCCCGAGCGCGUGGAGUAGGAGAAAUCUUUCUCCCAGCCCCAUCUGAAGCUAUCCUCUACACCCUCCAGGUAUUCAUGAUUUUGUCUUUUCGUGAUUUUGUCUAGACCAUGAUCCAAAAUUGUGCAAUGUUUUUUUUUUUACUUUUAUAAAUAUGCCUUCAAU